GUGCUGGUUAGGUGGAUUGGCCAGGCUAAAUUACCUGUAGCUUAGGUGGGAUAUAGGGGGAUGGGUCAGCGUGGGAUGCUCCAAGGGUCAGUGUGGACUUGUUGAGCUGAAAGGCCUGUUUCCACACUGUAGCUAUUCUGUUCUAUAUUAAUUUGUCACUGGCUGGAUGAAUGGCAACAUUUCAAAUUGUGUCCAAAUCUCAUGUGUCCUUCAGUUCUUCUGCACAGAGAUUUUCCCAGUUCCUUGACAAGAUAGGAAAAUGGAGGUGUCUUCCCAGGGCUUUCGUUUAUUUAUUCAUUGGUUCAGUGACAGGCAGGUAGCUAUUAGCUGCUCCUACUUCAUCCUGAGAGAAAAUGAGCAGCAAUUGUUAGCUUGAGUGAUGUAAGUAUCACUGAGAUGGUGCUAAUGAGUUUUUAGUGUCAUGAAGCUGAUCCCAUAGAGCCAUUAGGGAGGGAGUUCCAGGAUUUUGACCCGGCGACACUGAGGGCACAGCAAUAUCAUUCCAAGUCAGGAUGAUGCAUGGCUCAAAGAUGAACUUGUGGGUUGAGGUUGUGUUCCCAUACAUCUGCUGCCCUUGUCCUUCUAGAUGUUAGAGGUUGCAGCUUCAGAAGGUGCUGUCUAAGAAGCCUUGAUGAAUUGCUGCAGUGCAUCUUGUGAAUGGAACACAUCACUGUCACAGUGCAUUGAUUGUGAAGGGAGUGAAUGUUAUAGGUGGCAUGUGUGGUUGCAAUCAGGCAGGCUGCUUUAUCCUGGAUGAUGUGGAACUUAUUGAGUGUUGUUGGAGCUGCACCCAUCCAGACAAGUGGAGAGUAUUCCAUCACAAUCCUGACUUGUAGAUGUGGACAAGAAUUAGGAAAUCAGGAGGUGAGUUACUCAUUGCAGAAUUCACAGCCUCAAAGAGUAACAAGUUUACAUGGACAGUUUCCAGUGCAAAUAUUCACGUGGUCAUAAUCCCGGAAAUAAUUUGACAGAAAAGGUAUAACAAACUCAUAAAACAUUGUGCCGAAUAUCAGAAGUGACCAAUGUUUGGAAUGCAAGCCAAAAAAAAACUUUUGUGUUGCAUAGCAAUUAUUAUUUUUAUUCAUUUUCCUUACAAAAUAUACAUAUUUGGAUGGCUAAGCAGUUAAUCUAGCAGAGCAAAGGAGAUCCUUGCACAUUGAAAUUACAGAAUGACCUCGGUACAUGAUUGAAACAGUACAUGCCAUCACAAACCCUCAUAUAAGGUUCAUUGUCCAGAUUCAUGAUGCAAGUUGGACGUCACGCAGAUUUGCUGAGACCCUUGGCAGAGACGGAUGCUUUGCUCAUGUGUCUCUUGAGAGAAAGUGUAGGUGAAUGGAUGGUAGGGCGAGCGGGUCUGGGGAGCAGUCGCUGUUCUGUGGCCAGGAAUGGAGCAUCACAGCAGUAGGGACAUGGCCUAUAUAAUAUCCAUGCAGACUUGUCUAUCACAGAGUGAUGAUUUAUUCUUCACUUGAGGGAUUGGGGUAGGUGCAGCUCUCUUGGGACCUCUGGGCAAAUCCGGAUGGACAGAACGUGAGAGAUUUUGUGCAGAUUUCAAAGGUAGAUGCUAGAUGUCUUGGAGGGGGUGGGGGGAAAGAGAGAGUUUCCUAGGAACUGCCAAAGGAAAAAGAUACCUCACAGAACUCACAUAUUGGACUCUUACAGGGGCCAUGAACACCAGUUGGACCACUCAGGCAAUGUAUGAAUGAAAUCAUUGCUCACAGCCAAAGGGCACAGUAUUCCAUCAUUACAUUUCAUAUCAUCUCUACUCCAGAAUAAGGGGUCGCACAUUUAAGGCAGAGAUGAGGAGGAAUUUCUUCUCUCAAAAGGUAGUGAAUCUGUGGAAUUCUUUACCACAGAGGACUAUUGAGGCUUGGUCAUUAUUCAAGGCUGAGAUAGACAGACUUUUAACCGGUAAGGGAAUCAAGGGUAAUGGGGGAAAGGCAAGAGAGUGGAGUUGAUGUUUAUCAGAUCAGCAAUGAUGUCAGUGAUUGGCUGAAUGGCCGACUUUCGCAGUAACGUCUUAUGAUCUCUGGUGAAAGACAGAUCCUGCUGAUUUCCUUGGAUCACCUAGUGCCUAUGGUGGACUCAGUGACCACAUUCAGACUGCCCAGGGUGGAUACUGAAGAUGAAUCAGGCAGCAGAAUAGGAUGAGGGCGUUGCUGGCUGGGCAGCAUUUAUUGCCCAUCCCUAAUUGCCCAGAGGGCAGUUAAGAGUCAACCACAUUGCUGUGGAUCCGGAGUCACGUAGGUCGGACCAGGAAGAAAGGAGGAGGGAAUGCCCCAUUAACAGAGUGGAAGUGGAGAGCAUGAAGUCCCUCCGAGUGACAAUAACCAACACUCUGCCCUGGAUUUCCCACGUAGAUGCGACAGUCAAGAAAGCACAACACGCUUCUUCUUCCUCGGGCAGCUUAGGAAAUUCAGCAUGCCCAUAAGGACUGUCACCAGCUUUUACAGAUGCACCAGUGAAAGCAUUCUGUCCAAGCGCAUAACGGCCUGGCGCGCCAGCUGCUCUGCUCAGGACUGUAACAGAAGGUGGUGUGCACAGCCCAUUCCAACACAGAAGCCAACCUCCCAUCCAUGGCUCGCUGCCGCGGAAAGGCUGCCAACAUCAUCAAAGAGCUAUCACACCACCCCAAUGCUCUCUUACAACCCCUUCUAUCUGUCAGAAGAUACAGAAGCUGAACAAACGCACCAACAGUUUCAAGAACCGUUUCUUCCCUGCCGCUAUUAGACACUGAAUGGACCCCUCUAACUUCAAAUAAUGUCGAUGUUGCUAAUGGUGAUCUUGCUUUUGUGUACCUCCUGUGGAGCUGUAACCUGGUGUGCCUCACUCUGUCUGAGCACCUUAUCAUCUGAAUGUACUUGUUGCUAUGAUCUGCCUGUAUUCCUCACAAAGCUUUUCACUGUACUAAUGUACAUGUGACUGUAAUAAAUCAAAUCAAGUCUAAGGGACCCCAUCAAACACUCUCAGGACAGAUUUAGUAUAUAUUUACACUAAAUCCUCAGAAGGUUCUGGAUCACUGGACCCGAAACGUUAGCUCUGUUUUUUUCCUUCACAGAUGCUGCCAGACCUGCUGAGCUUUUCCAGCAGCUUUGUUUUUGAUCCUAAUUCACUGCAUCGACAGUUCUUUUGUUUUUUAUUAAUCCUGAGACCUGGGUAAUGUUCUGGGGACCUGGGUUCGAAUCAUUCACAGCAGA